UAGAGUUGUAAAACUCCCAAACCCAUGUGAACAUACCUCUGUUGCCUCGGUGGCCUACCCGGUAUCUACCCUGUAGCUACCCUGUAGUCCGCCGAUGGACCUUUAAACUCUUGUUUUUAUGUAUCUCUGAGAAUACUUUUAAAUAAGUCA
rnacentral:misc_RNA from 1 species